rnacentral:lncRNA from 1 species
AUGUCCCCCUUCUGCAGCGUCAGCUCCCUGGGGGACAGGGACACCGCUGGCCCCACUCCUGGGGGACACCCCCCAUCCCCAGCCCUCACCCCACAUCCCGGGGCUCCUCUGGUCCCAAGAGGGACCAUGGGGGGGACCCCCAGCAGCUCCAUCACUUACUUGGGUGACUCAGCUUGGAAGUCAAACUUGAGGCGAGCAGCUUUCAUCUGGGGGGGGGAAAAGAGUGGUUAUGGGGGGGACACCCUCCAUCCCACCCAUCCCAGGCCCCAUAUGGGGUGGGACCACCCCAGCCUCACCUUCUUCUCCUCCUUCCUGAUGGCCUCCGUGGGGUCCCCCAUGUCCGACAGGCUGGGGAGGGUCCCUGGCCGGAGGGUGUCUGCAAAGAGUAGUGUUGGGGGGUGUCAAUGGGGUGUCCAUGGGGUGCCCCAUGGCAUGGCUUGGGGUUGGGGGGGUGCUCACCUCUGCUGGGGGCUACACGGCUCCGGUCACUGGCCAGUCCCGGGCCACCCCGCUCCAUGGUGGGGCUGGCGGGCAGGCGGUGGGUGCUGGGGGGGCUCUGCAGCCCGCGGGGUGACAGGGGGCUCUUGCGGGGUGACAGGGGGCUCCUGGAGGGGGGGUGACAGCGGCUCAGGGCAGGGGCUCAGCCCCACAUCCAGCCCCUGGGACACUGGUGUCCCCCAUCCAUACAGCCCCCCAGGACCCUGGGUCCCCUGGGACCAGGAUGGUGGGGUCCCCUGGCUCCAGAGCCCCCAGGACACUGGAAUGGUGGGGUCACCCAUCCACAGAGCCCCCCGAACCCUGGGUACCCCAGGACUAGGACACCGGUGUCCCCCAUCCACAGAGCCCCCCAGGACCCUGGGUCUCCUGGGACCAGGACACUGGCGUCCCCUGGCUCCAGAGCCCCCAGAACACUGGGACAUCGGGGUCCCCCAGCUGCAGAGCCCCCUGAACCCUGAGUACUCCAGGACCAGGACACCGGUGUCCCCCAUCCACAGAGCCCCCCAGGACCCUGGGUCUCCUGGGACCAGGACACUGGCGUCCCCUGGCUCCAGAGCCCCCAGAACACUGGGACAUCGGGGUCCCCCAGCUGCAGAGCCCCCUGAACCCUGA